rnacentral:rRNA from 1 species
AGUGAACGCUGGCGGUAGGCCUAACACAUGCAAGUCGAACGGCAGCACAGUAAAAGCUUGCUCUUACGGGUGGCGAGUGGCGGACGGGUGAGGAAUACAUCGGAAUCUACUUUUUCGUGGGGGAUAACGUAGGGAAACUUACGCUAAUACCGCAUACGACCUACGGGUGAAAGCAGGGGAUCUUCGGACCUUGCGCGAUUGAAUGAGCCGAUGUCGGAUUAGCUAGUUGGCGGGGUAAAGGCCCACCAAGGCAACGAUCCGUAGCUGGUCUGAGAGGAUGAUCAGCCACACUGGAACUGAGACACGGUCCAGACUCCUACGGGAGGCAGCAGUGGGGAAUAUUGGACAAUGGGCGCAAGCCUGAUCCAGCCAUACCGCGUGGGUGAAGAAGGCCUUCGGGUUGUAAAGCCCUUUUGUUGGGAAAGAAAAGCAGCAGGUUAAUACCCCGCUGUUCUGACGGUACCCAAAGAAUAAGCACCGGCUAACUUCGUG